UACGGGGGGAGCAAGCGUUGUUCGGAUUUACUGGGCGUAAAGGGCGCGUAGGCGGUCAGCACAAGUCAGUUGUGAAAUCUCCGGGCUUAACUCGGAAAGGUCAACUGAUACUGUGCGACUAGAGUGCAGAAGGGGCAACUGGAAUUCUCGGUUUAGCGGUGAAAUGCGUAGAUAUCGAGAGGAACACCUGCGGCGAAGGCGGGUUGCUGGGCUGACACUGACGCUGAUGCGCGAAAGCCAGGGGAGCGAACGGG
rnacentral:rRNA from 1 species